AUGAAGGCCAAGGCUUCUCCACCCCAAGCAAACUUCGCGGUGACCAAGCUCCAUGAGAACGAGCAUGAGGAUAGUACCACCAAGAUGUCCAAGCCCGACGAGCUCCAAGACGAGGCUCCCAAGUUCGACUUCACCGCCACCCCUCUUUGUGGCAUUGAUGGUGUCGAGUCUACCACGACUCUUUUUCAAGAGGGUGCAGCGACAAGUAUGACUACGGAGACCCUCAAGGACCAAGCUUUGGAGGCGAGCGACAAGGUGGCGAGCAAGGUUGAUGCUUCCAUCUUUGGAGGCGAGAGUGAUGAUGUGCCAUCUUCGGCCUUCAUCCAUGGCGACGAUGACGAGAUGGUUGAGCAUGGGAUUUUCCCUUUGACCACGUCGACAUAUGAUGACUUGAGUGACUUUUGCCAGCAUAUUGAGAGUGAGAGUGACUUCACCACUAGCCCCAUAUAUGACGAGUUGCCCCACUUCCCAUGUGAGGAGAGCCACAACCCCCACCACUUGAGUGAGAUGAGUGACUCCACCAUACGUGAGUUUGAGUGCACCUAUUUUGAGGGAGUGAGUGAACCACCACAUAGAGAGAGUGAGAUAGUUGAUAGGUCAUGUGAGGCCACUUUCAACACUAACGACUUGACCUCUACCUCUAUUAUGUCUUCUCAUUUGGUGCUAGGUCCCAUUUAUGAUGACGCGCCGAUCCGCGAUGACUUCGUCCUCCCUUUGGACAAGACGAUGGCCAUGGUGGAAUAUGAUGCACCCCCCACAUGGUUCCAUCAAGAUGAAGAUGACCACCAUUUGGUUUUCCCACCUCACCUACACCACUUGAGUGGAAUGACAAAGGUACCCAUGAAUACUUGUCAACUUCGCAAUCCCACGAGUUGA
rnacentral:rRNA from 1 species